AUAACUAGCCUCCUCCGAGAGACCUGAAAAAGCAAAGCAGGGAAAGCGGGGGAGGGGUUGACAGGGAUGAUCGGGAAGUGUAGGAUCAAACGGUUGACUCUUUCGGGGAGAAAAAGCCCUGAAGAGAAAGACGCCCUGUGGAAACGCAGGGAGAGCGUCUCGGAUCAUUGACAACUAAAUAGGAGCAGCAACGUCCAAUUAAAGGGCCCUGAUCACGAAACACAGGAACAAAAUGAAUCUGGAGAGUUUGAUCCUGGCUCAGAACGAACGCUGGCGGCGUGCCUAACACAUGCAAGUCCAACGUGAAAGGGGAGCAAUCCCCCGGUAGGGUGGCAAACGGGUGAGUAAUACAUGGGUGAUCUACCUUAGGGAUGGGGAUAUCCUUCCGAAAGGAGGGCAAUACCGAAUAUGUCCGGAGCCAUGAAGGGUUCCGGGGAAAGGAGGCCUCUGAUACAAGCUUUCGCCUUAAGAUGAG
rnacentral:rRNA from 1 species